UACGUAGGGUGCAAGCGUUGUCCGGAAUUAUUGGGCGUAAAGAGCUCGUAGGCGGUCAGUCGCGUCUGCUGUGAAAACUCGGGGCUUAACCUCGGGCCUGCAGUGGGUACGGGCUGACUAGAGUGCGGUAGGGGAGACUGGAAUUCCUGGUGUAGCGGUGAAAUGCGCAGAUAUCAGGAGGAACACCGGUGGCGAAGGCGGGUCUCUGGGCCGUAACUGACGCUGAGGAGCGAAAGCGUGGGGAGCGAACAGG
rnacentral:rRNA from 1 species